AUGGAAUUUUCUCCAGAGCACCACCAACGCCCAUUCAUCAUCCCCUGCCUGCUGCUUUGUUCUAUCCUCCGUCCGUCCAGCCGGCGGCAGUCCAGCCCCGUAUUCCCACCCGGCGGCGGUCGUCGGAGCUGCGAAAGGCCGGCAGCAGGCAUGGAGGCUGCCUUGGCGAGCGCUCUGGCCAAGGAGGUGCUACUGAAGCUGGCCUCGCUGCUGAGCGAGAAGCACAAGCUGACAAAGCGCCUCAAGGAUGACAUCCAUUCCAUCCACACCGAGCUAAAGAUGAUCUUGAGCGAAAUGGACGAGCACCUGGGGGAUCCGAGGCCCUCGGGCCCGCGGGUCGUCUCCAUGGAGGAGAUGCGCGAUCUGGCGCACGACAUCGAGGAUUGUAUAGAUCGGUUCCUGCCCUGCGCCGCCUGCGAGGCGGAAGCAGCAGCAUCGUUCGUCCGCCGAUUCAAGAAGGCGCUCUCCAGUAACGGAUCCCGUUUCGCCAUGGAGAUCCGGGGGCUCAGGGACAGGGUCAAAGUCGCGCACGAGCGAAGGGCCAACUACGGCCUCAACGGCGGGGGAUCCUCCGCCGCAGCCGGAGCCGGAGUAGCCACUCCUCCCGCGACCGAAACUCACCCUGUGGGCAUCGACAAGCCCAAGCAGGAGCUCGUCGACCUGCUGCUGGGCAGCAAGCCAAGGAAUCUGAGUGUGAUAUCCAUCGUGGGGUUCGGCGGCUCGGGGAAGACGACGCUCACCAGGGCAGUGUAUGAUUGCCCGGCUGUCGCCUUGGAAUUCCCUGCCCGUGCCUGGGCCAAGGGGUCGGACCACACGGACGCCCCUGGGCUCGUGAAUUUCAUAUGUUCGGAGCUCCCCACCGCCAACAAUCACAGCAAUGAUGUUCUGCCGACUACAAAGUGCUUAAUUGUAAUCGAUGACAUCAACCAGCAACACUGGGAUCACGUAAAAGCUUCUUUCCAUGGGAAAAUAGAAGGGAUAAUCAUUGUAACCACGGCUUUUCACUCGGUAGCUAAUGCCUGCAGAUCAGGUGAUGGCUAUGUUUAUAAGAUGGGUGUUCUUGAUGCAGAAGUCUCUAAAGUUUUGCUAAUGAAGAGGUUUUCCAUUCACGAAUUUUCACCUGACAUGGAGCUGGGUGCAACAGCAAUUGUGGACAAGUGUGAUGGCCUUCCUCUUGGUCUUGUCAGCGUGGCCCAAUUUUUGCUAGGCGAGGAAAUGCUCACUGGAAGUCGUUGUGAAGAAGUUUGCCGUAUUCUCGGGCAUCAUAUGGAGGUGAAUGCAGAAUUCACAAAACUGCAGCAGGUUCUUGUACAUAACUACAUAAGCCUGUCUGACUAUCCUCUCAAGACCUCCUUGCUAUACACAAGUUUGUUUCCAAAUGAUCGGCCGAUCAAGAAGAAUACAUUAAUCAGGCGAUGGAUAGCAGAAGGGUAUGUACAGUGUGGGUACAAACGCAGUGACCUGGAGGUAGCAGAUGACAACUUCCGGAAACUUGUUGACCGGAAUAUCAUUCGGCCGAUCGAUGCUAGCAACAACACAAAAGUGAAGACGUGCAAAACUCAUGGUGUCAUGCACGAGUUCUUGUUGCACAAGUCCAUGUCUGAUAACUUCAUCGCAUCUCUUCAUGAUCAAAAUCGAAGUAAAUGCCGUCACCUGUUCAUCCAGAACCCUACAAGUGGCAGCACCUUGGGCCUGGACCAGCAUACAAGCCCAGCAAGCAACAGCGUAUGUGGCAGUGGCAGUGAAAAACUCCGUGCCCGAUCUCUGACAAUCUUUGGGAAUGCAGGAGAUGCUUCUUCUGAGUUAUGUAGGUGCGAGCUGCUGCGAGUGCUGGAUCUGGAAGCAUGCAGCGAUUUGGCGGACGGCCAUCUCAAAGACAUCCAUAAGCUGUGGCAUCUAAAAUAUUUGAGCCUUGGUGGCACAGUCAGAAACCUUCCAAAGAAUAUUGACAAGUUACACUGCUUGGAGACACUGGACCUGAGGAAGUCAAAGAUAGAGAUAUUGCCAGUGGAAGUCAUCGGGUUGCCUCACCUAGCUCACCUGUUUGGAAAGUUAAAGCUAGGGAAAAAGGACAUGAAAGUGGAUGAACUAAAGAAGUUUCAACCGAAAAAAUGUAAUUUGAAGACUCUUGCAGGAUUUAUUGCAGAUGAAAGCCCUGGGUUUCUACAACUGAUGGCUCAUAUGACAGAAUUGAAAAAGGUUAAGAUAUGGUGUGAAUCCACUGGUACAAACAAUCACAUUGCAGAGGCAGUUGAGAAGUUUGCUCAGCGUGGUAUGGACACGGCAGAUGUUCGUUCUCUGUCACUUGAUUUUGGAAAUUCCUUGGGGGACUUCCUGGAUUCUAUAGAGAAAUUGUGCUAUCUUAACUCACUGAAACUGCGUGGCGGACUGAGUCUACUGCCUCACUUUGUUACAUCCCUGUGUGGCCUCAAGGAAUUGUGCCUUUCAUCAACUAAUCUGGCAGGGAAGGAUCUAUCAAACCUGUGUCAGAUGAGACUUUUGCUUUAUCUCAAACUGGUUGAAGCUGACCUUAGCGGCUUCAUCAUAAAAGACAGGGGUUUCCCAAGCCUGCUACGCUUAUGCCUUAUUGUGCAAAUACCCGUCCUGCCUACAAUCGCAGAAGGAGCUCUGCCACGUCUUGUCUCACUUCACCUGCUCUGUAAAGAUCUUGUUGAUCUUUCAGGCAUCAAGAUCGAAUACCAUCGUGACCUGCAGGAAGUUGCUCUGGAUUCUAUGGUCAGUACAAAUACAGUGGAAAUGUGGGAAACUGCAGCGAAGAAGCAUCCGAAGAGACCAAAAGUUACAUUUCUCAGAAGGAUUGAUCCAAGCGAAACUGAGUCUGGUGUGAAAUAUGUGGCUACAGAGGGACCGAUGCGCGAGAAGGCAUCAUCUGUUGAACUCAUCCAAGUUCAAUCAGCGCAGAAUAUGUUGCAGAACGAAUGCAUGAUCCGGUCAGUCCAAUCAAUUUCAGUGAACACACACAAUUCAGCUUCCAAGAAAACGGUAGUUUCAGAACUCCCCCAGGUUGCACGCGAGCUGUUCAGUGCUGGGAACAGUGCAAUGCCUCCUUGUGCAAGGUAG
rnacentral:rRNA from 1 species